UACGUAGGUGGCAAGCGUUGUCCGGAUUUAUUUGUUUUAAAGGGUGCUUAGGCGGCCCUGUAAGUCAGCGGUGAAAUACGGCAGCUCAACUGUCGAGGUGCCGUUGAUACUGCGGGGCUUGAGUGUUGAUGAGGCAGGCGGAAUUGACGGUGUAGCGGUGAAAUGCUUAGAUAUCGUCAAGAACACCGAUAGCGAAGGCAGCCUGCCAAGCAACAACUGACGCUGAGGCACGAAAGUGCGGGGAUCAAACAGG
rnacentral:rRNA from 1 species